UCAGUAAGAAGUAACCGUGAAUUUGCCCCCCGGGGAUACGGCCCCAAGUUAAAUUCAAAGGAAUGACGGGGACCCCCCCAACGGGUGAACGAUGUGGUUUAAUUGAUGCAACGCGAAAACCCUUACCCACCUUUCCAUCUACGGAAUUUGCCAGAAAUGGUUAGUGCUGAAAGAGAGCGUAACACAGGUCUGCAUGGCGGUAGUCAGCUUGUGUCGUGAGAUGUUGGGUUAAGUCCCGCAACGAGCCCCACCCUGUCUUAGUUGCUCAUUUAGUUGGGCACUUAAUGAGACCCGGUGCAAACCGGAGGAAGGUGGGGAGAGUCAAGUCCUCAUGGCCCUUAUAGGUGGGGUACCCCGUCUCCAAUGGCGGGUCCAAAGGGUGGCCAACCCGAGGGGGACUAAUCCCAAAACCCAGUCCAAGUCCGGAUGGCAGUUUGCACUUCCUCCGAAAGUGCCGGAGGCGAGU
rnacentral:rRNA from 1 species